rnacentral:rRNA from 1 species
AUUGAACGCUGGCGGAAUGCUUUACACAUGCAAGUCGAGCGGCAGCGCGGGGGCAACCCUGGCGGCGAGCGGCGAACGGGUGAGUAACAUAUCGGAACGUACCCCGUCGUGGGGGAUAACACAGCGAAAGCUGUGCUAAUACCGCAUACGACCUGAGGGUGAAAGCGGGGGAUCGCAAGACCUCGCGCGAUGGGAGCGGCCGAUAUCGGAUUAGCUUGUUGGUGAGGUAAAGGCUCACCAAGGCGACGAUCUAUAGCUGGUCUGAGAGGAUGAUCAGCCACACUGGAACUGAGACACGGUCCAGACUCCUACGGGAGGCAGCAGUAGGGAAUAUUCCGCAAUGGGCGAAAGCCUGACGGAGCAACGCCGCGUGAGUGAUGAAGGAUUUCGGUUCGUUAAAGCUCUGUUGCAGGGGAAAAAGCGAAGUGAUUGUACUCUGCGAGAAAGGGACGG